UAGGAUCCAUGGGGAAAUUUCCUCUCACUGCCUCCCGAGAGCGCACGUCCCCCAGCGGCGUCGAGUUCGUCAAGGCCCAGAUCUGGGACACCGCCGGCCAGGAGAGGUCUGUUCUCCAUUUCUUUUUUCUCUUCUCUCCCGUUUGAGACCUAUUUUUGCAAAUCUCCCCGUUUAUAUGUUGUUGUGCAUCCUGCUUUGAUUGGUUCAGCAUUGAUGGUUAAUGCUACUUUUCUUCAGAAAAUUAGAUGUUUUUUGGUAGGGUUUAGUCUGUAGGAUUUGUUUGUUUAGGAAAUCCAGAGGUUAUUCCAGGUGUUCUAUCUUCUGUAUAAUUCAGAACUAAAACGAUUAAUAUUUUGUAUUGCUCUGCCCCUGCUUAUUCUGAUUGAUUAAAUGGUGACUUACUGAUUUCAGUUCUUGAUUUGGUAUUCUUGCAAAAAUCUAAAAACUAGUUAUUAGACAUCAGCUAGGGCUAAAGAAAGAAAUAUAAUCACCACCUGCAGGUUGCAGCAACAUUAUGCUCUUGAAUCUUCAAGUAAUAGUCCAAGAUGAUUUCAGAGUAACAGAAUUGAACUGCUAAGGCCGUGUUCGGCAUAGGGGUAUAAGUUAACUUAUCCCUGGCACGGAAAACGUAGUAAUAGAUUAAUACAUUAAUUAUUAAAAAAAUAUAAAAUAGAUUAAUAUGAUUUUUUAAAACAACUUUUCUAUAGAUUUUUUUUGCAAAAAGUACACCGUUUAGUAAUUCGGGAAGUGUGCGCACGGAAAACGAGAAAGAUAAGUUAAACUAUGGGGCUACCGAACGCGGCCUAAGUCUCUGGAGAGGAUGAACAAUUGAUAAUAUUAAAUACCAAAAUCAAACAUCAUAAGCUGGCUGUGCUUGAAAGAAUAUAUGAAUUUGUAUUGUCUAGAGUAAUAAAGUAUCCAAAAAGCAUUAGUGGAGGUACAAACUUGAUUAUGGUGUUCUGAAGAUGCUCAAUGUUUUUGUUAGUGUCUUCAAUUCUCACCAGUAACUCUUCAUUUUAAUAUAUUUCCUGUCCAUGGUGUGUUCUAAGGAUAUCAGUAAAGACUGUUCUUUUUAAUACUGCAUAGAUCUAAGUCUAGGCAUGGAGCUAUACAGAUUAUCAUCAUUAUUUUUGAACAGAGUAGUGCUGUUCUGAUGUUGUUGCUGAUCUGAUGCUGUUGCUGAUCUGAUUUGAUGUUGUUGCUGAUCUGAUGCCGUUGCUGAUCUGAUUUGAUGUUGUUGUUGAUCUGAUGCUGUUCAGAUUAUCAUCAUUAAGAUUUAAGAGGCAUGUUGUUGAUCUAAUGCUGUUGCUAAUAUUAAAAAACUUACCUUCCUUCCUCGUCCUCUUUUGUUUUUAGUUCAUUUUUUGUUAAAUAUUGGGGAUAUAAACAGAACAAUAAUCCCAUGUUAUUAUUGAAUGGUUUCAUAUAGCGUAUAAAUGGACCAAUCUAUCAUGUGAAAGUGGGCAUUUUUUUUUGUAUUUUUU
rnacentral:lncRNA from 1 species